UUAACAUGCUUUUGUCUGUAGGAUCUUGGUCUGGCAACGGUCUGGGAUGAUCACCUGUCAUACCUGCUGUCGGCAGCGCUGUCGGCGUAUGAACUAGAGCGCUGUACAGGUGUGUCGUGUGGAAACGAGGAGUUUCAGGAUGCCGUGAGAAGAGCGGUACCUGACGGACACACUUUUAAAGGCUUUCCUAUUCAUUUCUUGCACCGUAAUGCACGCAGGGCAUUCGCUACCUGCCUCAGGUCACCGUUCUGUGACGAGAUUGUUUGCUGCCGAGGGGAUCAUGUGCGACUGGCGGUGAGGGUUCGUGUCUUUGCCUAUCCAGAGUCAGCUUGUGCUGUGUGGAUCAUGUUUGCUUGCAAGUACAGAUCAGUGCUGUAACUGAAAGCAGUAUGACCAUUCACCUCAGGUUCAUAGAAUUCACAAAUCUCCUUUACAGCUCCUUAAACUAAUCUGCUGGGUCUGGAGUAUUAUUAUGAGUUUUGCAACUACAUGUAUGCCAUUUAAAUCUAUGCUGCUCAUAUAUGUGCAGUACAAUUACAAUUGUUUUACAUGUACUGUGUGUUUGUGUCAGUUGGAGGCUGUUAAAUUGGUAUUUAUGGAUAUAUUUUUCUAAAUAAAUCACUUUUACAAUGCC